ACAGCGCUCCUCCUUGACGCCGCGAGCAGGACCCUGUCUCACUGACCCCGUGCCCACGGCGGUCCUUGCCUGCUUCUAUUCUCCCGGUUUCCCCAGUCCCGAGUAUUGGAAAGCGAGAGCGAAAGCGAAAGCAUCCUAGUCGCCGGUAGGCUGGCCUGGGCCGGGCUGGAGAGGGAGCAGGAAAUAAAAACUCGGGUGUGGGAGGAGCUGGGACGCUGGCGGCAGAGCCACUGUGGCAGCUUGAGUCUCGCGCGCGCAGGAAGCGGAGGUGGAAGUUGGGGCGCAGGAAUGUGGCUGUCCCCGCCUGUAAAUCAUGGUUGGGGAGGAGUCGCGGAGGCACCAGGCUGGGGUCUGCAGCGCGCCAUCUGCUGCAGCACACAGGAGGCGCUGAGGCUAGUUGGAGACAGAGUCUCACUGUGUCACCCAGGCUGGAGUGAAGUGGCAUGAUCUUGGCUUACUGAAACCUCCAUCUCCCAGGUUCAAGCGAUUCUCAUGCCUCAGCCACUUGAGUAGCUGGGACUACAGGAUUUCGCCAUGUUCCCCAGGCUGGUCUCAAACUCCUGAACUCAGGCAGCCCGCCUACCUUGGCCUCCCAAAGUGCUAGGAUUACAGCCCAAAUGACCCUCCAAGACCCUCUGGAGGCACCCGCAGUGCUCCUUAAUUUGCAGCUCUACAGAAUGAGACCAGCGUGGCAGCCCCCUUUCAGGACAGCUCCCGAGACGAGACGCGAGAGCAGCCCCUAAAUCUCACCCAGCAAAGCCGUUUCUUCCUAACCGGGCUGGGGAGUGCCGCGCGCUGCCAGCAGAUGGCGACAGAGGAUUAGCCUGCGGAAACCGGCCUUUUUAUAGCCAACAAGAGCAAAAGCACACUGCAAUGUCCAAACGAAUUGCAGGCGUUUUCUGCUCCCUGAAGCCUGGGAAUUAAUUUAUAUACUCAGUCCCUUUUCCCUUGGCUGGCCAUUGAAGUAGUUGAACCACAGGAUUGGACUGUCCAGAAUCAUUAGCCAGAGUUCACUGUGAGUGGACGUCUUUUAGUUCUGCUUCAACGCUAUAACCAACCUUUACCAAAAGCAACAACAAAACAAAAAACUGCAGAAACCAAUGAGUUCUGUUCACAAAGGAUGGCUCCUCAUGUCAUCACACCGGCAAGGAAUGGACGAGCCUCUGAUUUUUCUCUUCUUGGCUGACUUUACAAGGUUGGAUGCAGUCCAUGAGGAUCAUGCAGCAAAGACAGAAAGUGCUGGAGAAGCCCAACCUGCAGGGCCUCACCUUUAGCUGGUUUGUGUGGUUCCACUUCAUGUAGCUGUUGGAACACCAGUCUCUCUAAUGUGCUCUAUGGGAUAGCUGUUACCUUCCACUAAUUUAUGUCUAAUACCUAUAAACCUAAAGUAUCUUUUUAAAAAUUUUAUUCCGUCUUUUUGGAGGAAAUUUUUGUGCAUGCCAGAUAUAGUGUCAAGCAUUGGGAUUGCUAAGAUGAACGUAACAUUGUCCUCACCACCCAUUAAGUCACAAUCUAGUAGAUGAGUAAAAGUAAAAAAAAAAAUUAAAAAAAGAGUUAUAACCAUAAUACAGAAGUGAACAGGUUGCAGUGGUAGCACAGAGAGGGCUUCAGGGAUGCUGUCACAGAGGUGGUAACAUUUGAGAUAUAGAUUCCAAAUUCAGAUGUGUUUGCUGUUGCAAAAUUCCAGGGUCUAUGUGCCCAGUUCCUGAACAUUCCAGUGAUAAUUUUUACCUAAAAUUUAGGUGGCAAAUGAAUCUUACUAUAACCACUUGGAACCACUGUGUUUCUGGUCCAUCUUGUGAGGCCCAUCUUUGGUUCAGAGGGAUGGAGGCAGAAGUCAUACGGCAGGUAAGCUCAAGCAGUGAUACAUGACAGGGCUUUCAGAACUGGGGCCAUGAAGAGCAGGCUUUAUUUGCAUGCUGUUUAAAAACAAGAUUUUACAACUGAUUUACCCUAUUAAACACUUCCAUGAAUAACUCAGUGGAGAUUUAUUUGCAAUAGUAGGAUCAGGUGAUUUGAAAUCUUUAGUGUGUGUGGUUGUAGCAGGAGGAGUACUGGGUUCCAGCAUUUAAUAAGAGGACCCAUGGUUUUAUGAAAAUGUCCAGAGAUAUAAUUUUGGUUAAGGUUAUACCUCAUCUUUGGUUGUACAGUUGUUUCUUUUAGUUUCAGUACAAUCUAAAACAGGAAAUGUCAAUUCACAUGGGCAUGUCAGAGAACUUAGUGGCAGCUCCUCCCAUCACAAGCCUGGUUACACGGUUAGGUGGAAAAGACAAGUUGUAUGUAGAGAUCAUUAUCAGAAAUUGCUAAACUCUGUCAUCAAAAACUCUGUUGGAAUGGAUUUUAAAAUUUCUUAAUAAAAGAUGAAACAUG
rnacentral:lncRNA from 1 species